AUAAAGUUUUGUGGCCUAACUCGCGUACACCGUUUCCAUAGAGAGCUUCUAUAGCCCUGUCCUGUGUAAACAAUGGAAAUGUCUUAUAAUUGGUAAAGUCAUGUCUGAGGGAAUGGUGUGUAUUUUCGCCCAUACCGUACACAUUGCCGGUCGGCAAACGGGCAAAUUAGACCACCUAUUGAUUUUUCGUCGACUUUCGCUGUAUUGAAAAACUAAAAUCCUGUUUAUCAUCGCUAAUGUCGACACUGUAUUGAAGUUUUUUCGGAUCAAUUGGUUCAGUCUUAUCCAUCAAAAGCGGAAAGUUUUGCUGAACAGGAACCUCGUAUCGUCUGGACUUCGGAUCAACCAGUUUUACCCGAACUAUACGAUCGGUCAGAUAUGUCCAUUCAAACCGUACGGAUUCAAUUUGUGGCGACUUUUUCAAUACCCGGCGAGCCGUAUGUUUCAGCGACAGAUCUAACUGUCCACCAGUUGAUGUAUUGCUGCGGACAUCCCCUACCCGUCUAUAGCCAACACGAUUCCUGUCUAAAUAGCAAAUGGGAACACCGUUUGGCCGUUUUUCUUCGUCCCAAAUACAACCUCUCUGUUCACAUGAAACCUUAUCGA